GACGAACGCUGGCGGCGUGCUUAACACAUGCCAGUCGAACGGAAAGGCCCUGCUUUUGUGGGGUGCUCGAGUGGCGAACGGGUGAGUAACACGUGAGUAACCUGCCCUUGACUUUGGGAUAACUUCAGGAAACUGGGGCUAAUACCGGAUAGGAGCUCCUGCUGCAUGGUGGGGGUUGGAAAGUUUCGGCGGUUGGGGAUGGACUCGCGGCUUAUCAGCUUGUUGGUGGGGUAGUGGCUUACCAAGGCUUUGACGGGUAGCCGGCCUGAGAGGGUGACCGGCCACAUUGGGACUGAGAUACGGCCCAGACUCCUACGGGAGGCAGCAGUAGGGAAUAUUGCACAAUGGGCGGAAGCCUGAUGCAGCAACGCCGCGUGCGGGAUGACGGCCUUCGGGUUGUAAACCGCUUUCGCCUGUGACGAAGCGUGAGUGACGGUAAUGGGGAAAGAAGCACCGGCUAACUACGU
rnacentral:rRNA from 1 species